rnacentral:rRNA from 1 species
GACGAGGGAUCCUAGCGUUGUUCGGAAUCAUUGGGCGUAAAGCGGGUGUAGGUUGCUUUUUAAGUCAGGUGUGAAAGCCUAGGGCUCAACCCUAGAAGUGCAUCUGAUACUAUCAAGCUUGAGUGUGGAAGAGGCUAUUAGAAUUCCUGGUGUAGUGGUGAAAUACGUAGAUAUCAGGAGGAAUACCGGUUGCGAAGGCGGAUAGCUGGUCCAACACUGACACUAAGACCCGAAAGCGUGGGGAUCAAACAGG